GGGGCGCAGGUGCCGACCGGCCGGGCGAGGAGGAGGUUCACCGCCACCCACCGUCGAUCAGACCUGUAAGUGUUCGACUUACGUAUUUUGGACUCCUCUUUGAUUUUUUUUUUUUUGAAAUUACACUUUUGUUCCUGUAGUGCGGCGUCGGAUGUCGACCCCGGCCAGGCUGCCAGCCAAGGGACGGGCAAGCCAGUCCAUGCUGCUGAGGAUACGGCCCCCCAGACCACAGAGCAGCCAACAGCUGCAGUCGCGCCUGGGAGCACCGAGGGGCUCCCGUCCGCGGCACCGACUACGACAGGCAGCCCGACCAGGGCUGGAGAGGCUCCCCCAACUGGCUUCUCAGAGGAGGGA
rnacentral:lncRNA from 1 species